UACGGGGGGAGCAAGCGUUGUUCGGAUUUACUGGGCGUAAAGGGCGCGUAGGCGGCGUGGCAAGUCACUUGUGAAAUCUCCGGGCUUAACUCGGAACGGUCAAGUGAUACUGCUGUGCUAGAGUGCGGAAGGGGCAACUGGAAUUCUUGGUGUAGCGGUGAAAUGCGUAGAUAUCAAGAGGAACACCUGCGGCGAAGGCGGGUUGCUGGGCCGACACGUGACGCUGAGGCGCGAAAGCUAGGGGAGCGAACGGG
rnacentral:rRNA from 1 species